ACCACCCACACACACCACCACGCCCUGUCCCCUUUCUCCACCCUGCAAGCUAGUUGCAUUUACCUCACAGAGCCUGGGCUGCGACUUGAAAGACUUUAGGCAGCAACAGAGUGACCCUGGGGGUGCUCUUGACCGACAGCCGCACCUCCGGCGUCUAGGACCUCCGAGCAGGGAUGCAUCUGGGGGUCUAGGGAAGCACUUCCACCCCCUCCUCUCCUCAACCCUGGCAGGAUGUGCCCGAAAUGCCAGCUCCUCCUUGGUGUUCUCCUUUCAAGAUUUGAAUUCAAAUCCCAUAUUGGCAGCCCUGAUACCGCUGGGGGAAGGGUGAGGCUACCGCUGCUUCAAGACAGUGACGUUUCUCUCCGGUCAGCUGUCAGGAGCGCUGCUGGGUCUUACUGGGGAUCUGGCCAGCCUUGGGGACCCUUGGGGCCCUGGCCCAGUGGAAGCUUGUGCCUGAGGAACAUGGAGGCCACGCCAAUGGUGAGUUAGUGCUGUGGUACAGAAGCAGCCAACCUGUGCCUGCUCAU
rnacentral:sRNA from 1 species